CUCUAGAUCUAUUUGAAUCUGCUCCGGAAGUGGAAGAGGAGGAAAAAAAAAAAAAAAAGGAACAACCACAGGCGCAGAGAGAGGAGAGCUCUCCCGAUACCCCACCCCACCCCCACCCCACCCCAGUCACCCCUCCUCCCUGGCAUGGGAGUCAUGGGCACCAGCUGAGGACAAGGUCCCCUCCCUCUGCCUGCCAUAAAUAUUGGCACCGAAGACCCAGAUUCAGAAGGACGGGGCAUUCCAAAGAAAAUAGUUUUGCUUUUAAGUUGCUUUAAAAAUAUACAUAUACGUGUGUGUAUAUGUGUAUUUUUAAAAUUGCACCCGUUUUGGCGUGAGGGCGAAGGCGAGUGCAAGAAGGUGACCGAGCCAGGAGGAGAGAGCGCAGAUGGCUUGGUGGUGGUAUGGUGUGCUCCAUCGGCUGCCAACCUAGGGCCAUCGUCUGCCUCCAUCACCCUUCCGCCCGCCCGCCUACCCACCCAAUCCCAAAUGGGUGCUGAAUCAGAGAUGGGAGGAGGCUCAUGGAAGAGGGCAGCGGCGGGAGUCCCCGUGUUCUGGAAGGAAGGCGCGGACAUGGAGCUGUUGGCAUCACAUCUGUCAGGCUGGUGCCCAGCGCUGGGGCAGUGGGGAAUGGGGGACCCAGGAGGCAGAGAGGAGGGGCAGGAGUGUGUUGCUGGUGUUACUGUCCCUCUGGAAGCUUGGCUUUGAGCAGUGGCGGGAUGAUGAUGUGGCCAGCUCUCUUCCAGCCUGAGGAAGUAGUGUGGUGGAGAGAGUGGCCAGCGGUGUGCCCAGAGGAGUGGGAAAGCCAGGGAGGAGGGACUGUGCCAGCGCUCUCCAGGAAGAACUUGUUUGGGAUGGGGUCUGGCCCUUUGUCAGAGAGUGAUGGGAGACAGCGAGGGGUCUAGGGUGGGAAGUGGGAGGCACUGGCACUGCCCAUGGAGCCUGGCACAGGCUCUGGCAUUGUGUGGGAUACAGGAGGGUGUCAGGGGCUCCUGCCAAUCCGAUUGAGAGGGCUGUUGUGCCAGAAGUGAGAAGGGAGGAGGUGAGAUGCGGUGGGGGUGUUGUUUGGGAGAGCAGACUUCUUUCUGCCAGGACUCCUUCCCAUCCCUCUUAGGCGUGGGGAGAGGAGCAACAGACGGAGAGCGUUGUGAGGACACAAAGGAGGAAGCGCGCCAUUGCCAAGACCCCAACGAAGAAGGAUGGAGAGCGGCUGGCAGUGCUGCCUGGCCCCUAGCCAGUUUCUUGCGGAAGAUGGCCAGCUCCUCUCGCCGGGUCUGCGUGACUGUCUCACAGAGACGGAGGAUCAGAGGGUGAAGGACUGUGUCGUGAAACAUGUCCGGGUGGUGGAGGUCCGGGUGGCCGCGGACCUGUUCCAUGAGCCCUGAGCCUGGAGCAUUGGCUUUGUUGGUUCUUACGGACUCCGCCGGGCGGGAGCAAGCCACUAGGUGUUGCCCGCCGGAGCAGGAGUGCUGCCCCUCAGGACUUCUGGGCUGAGACAGGCACUCAGGAGCAAGGCUUCCAGCUACCAGGAACGAGACACACGAGGGUCAGCCCAUGUCAGCAGUCAGCCAGGCUUGUUUCUCCCUGCUCUCCAGGGUCCCAGGUCUUUCCUCUCGACAGAAGCUGAAUCAGUCCCAGAGUUACUUUCUUCAGCGAUCUUGUGCUACCUGGUAUUCCCAGUGUUCCUAGAAGGGGUGAACUCUGGGAAGACCCUCAGAUUCUGGCCAGAGAGAAGCCACAACUGACUCCCCCUGGCCCGUGGGCACUGUGCGGUUGUCUGGUGCCUUCUAGAUCUAUCUUUGGUUUCAACCAUGUGGAAUACGUGGGAGCUUCCUCAGCCAGUUGAAAGACAACAGCUUGCACGCUGCCUUCUCCUCCCCCAAAAGAUAUAAUAACAUGUGACAGUGCUAAUGUUACUGACGGCUAGUAUGGCACACACAUCAUGCUUUGCGUCAACUAUUCACUCUCACAAGGGCAACCCUAUUUUAUAGAUGAUUCAGGCAGCCAACGAAAGAGGUCAGAUGAGCUGCUGAUGACCACACAGCUCCAAGGUGGCGGAACCAGAAAAGUACCGGCUAGGCACAGGGUUCUCCCCACGCGGUGGCCUGGGCCCCUCCUCCUGCCAGACCGUCCCUCAGACCCAAUACAGGCAAACAGGAGCCUUGCCAGGCCUGGAAGUCAGGAUUCCUGGUUGCCUGCCACUGACCAGAAGCACCAAGUCUCCCAGCUACUCCCCAGAUUUCCCCAGGCCUCCAUACCUUACCACUCCCAGGUGCCAACAGCCCAUCUACCUCCUUCCCAGCUCUCCCCAGGCCCUAACAGCAGCUGGCCAAUGAGCACACUUCCGGAGUUCUGUCCAGAGGGCUUCAGGGAAGGGUGGAGGGCACGGCUUCACUUUCCUUGGGCCACCUCCAGAUUUCUGGUUUGGGAAUGGGUUCCUGGGUCUGGUCCCAAGCAGCCUGCAGGCCCCUAUUCCCUUCCCUCCUCCAGGGGGUCCAGCCAGGCGUGAAGUCAUAGCCAUUAAGAAGCUCCAGAGGGGCUGGAUUAGCAUGCUAAUGAAAAUGCAAAUCAGUACCUGGGUGGAGGGAAUGGAGAGGUGGGGGGAACUGGAGAAUCCAAAGGGAAGUGAAGGAAUUGGACAGAGAGGACCAGAGAGAGAGAGAGAGAGAGAGAGAGAGAGACUCUCCAGGUGUGGGAGAGAUUGCUCUCACAGAAGCCCUGGUGGGAAGGUACACGGGUUCGUGAGGGUCUGAUGUUCCACUCAAUCCUAGAAGCUGGGGCCCUACCAUCUUUCACUACCCUACCUGGUGGGAAGAAACCACCUGGCCAGAGGAGCCCGUGUGGGUCCUGCCACUGAGUGGGUGCAGCUGGACACGAGUGGGUGUGGGUGCAGUCUCCCAGCUGGCCA